rnacentral:lncRNA from 1 species
CUGAGAGAUACUUAGAGAUUUCCACCUGAAAUUAAAAUAUUUUGUCUUUGUUGCUGCUGCUGAAAAUACAUGACUUUUUAAGUCUAUUUUUACAAGUUUUAAGUGGUUUUUGCUGUCACAUUUGAAAGCUAUUGGUUUAUAAUUAAAAUUGUUAUAACCAGCCGCUUUAUUAAACUCUUUGUCAUCAAUUCUAAUUGUUUUUCAGUGCUUGUAUUAGAUUUUAUAAUGAUACAACCAUAUGGUUGGCAAAUAAUGACAAUUUGGUUUUCUCCUUUCACAUACAUUUCAUUUACUUUCACCCAAUCAGUCAACAUUUCAGAGUAACGUUAAAUGAUAACAGUGAGUGGUCAUCCUUGUUUUGUUCCUGAUUCAGAAUAUCUUCACUAACAUAUAAUAUGUAUUGAUUUUACUUAUAUAUUCUUUAGCAUGUUAAGGAAAUAUUUUUAUUCUUAAUAGUUUAGAAAAUAUGGGCAUUUGAGAUGAAUUACAAAUCAAGAACAAAUGUAUGUAUGUGUUUUUUUUUAAUACAAUGCUUUUUUUUUUUACUGUUACCUGGUUGCCACCCAGGGAAGCUCCCCGAAGCUUUGGUAUGUAGAGUUUUUAUUGAGACUUUAUUAUUUAGGCCUGAUUGAUGGAAUCAUUGACAUGUGGUUGAAUGCAGUCUCCAUCACCCUUCAGUCCUCAGAGGUCUCCUAAUAUGGGUGCUAUCAAAUACUAGGUAUUUUUCGUUCUGUCCCAUGAACCAUCCCCACAUCCCCUACUCCACCCCCACUACCCUUCUCAGCCUCAGAGCCUUCUACUCUCUGUCUCCUUGAGUUCAGUCAUUUUAAUUUUUAGCUCCCACAAAUAAGUGAGAACAUGUGAAGUUUGUCUUUCUGUGCUUGGUUUAUAUCACUUAACAUAAUGUCCUCUAGUUCCAUCCAUGUUGUUGCAAAUGACAGAAUCUUAUUCUUUUUUAUGGCUGGAUAGUACUCCAUUGUGUAUAUGUACCACAUUUUCUUUAUCCGUUCAUCUGCUGAUGGACACUUAGGUUGCUUCCAAAUCUUGGCUGUUGUGAACAGUGCUACAACAAAUGUGGGAGUGACUCUUUGAUAUACUGAUUUCCUUUCUUUCUUUUGUUCUUUUUGUUUGUUUUGAGACAGAGUCUCAUUCUGUCACCCAGGGACUGGAGUGCAGUGGCAUAAUCUCAGCUCACUGCAACCCUUUGCCUCCUGGGUACAAGUGAUUCUCCUGCCUCAGCCUCCCAAGUAGCUGGGAUUACAGGUGCCUGCCACCAUGCCUGGCAAAUUUUUAUAUUUUUAGUAGAGACAGGGUUUCACCAUGUUGCCCAGGCUGGUCUUGAACUUCUCACCUCAAGUGAUCUGCUCACUUUGGCCUCUCAAAGUGCUGGGAUUACAGGCAUGAGCCACAGUGCCCAACCACCAUUUUCCUUUCUUUUGGGCAUAUACCCAGCAGUGAGAUUGCUGGAUCAUAUGGUAGUUCUAUUUUUCUUUAUUUGAGGAACCUCCAAGCUGUUCUUCAUAGUGGUUGUACUACUUUAUAUUUCCACCAACAGUGUACGGGGGUUCCCUUUUCUCCAUAUCCUCUCCAGCAUUUAUUAUUGCCUAUCUUUUGGAUAAAAGCCAUUUUAACGGGAGUGAGAUGAUAUCUCAUUGUGGUUUUGAUUUGCAUGGUUAUUUCCUAUAGAGUUGUUUGAGCUCCUUAUAUAUUCUGGUUGUUAAUCCCUUGUCAGAUGGAUAAUUUGCAAAGACUUUCUCUCAUUCUGUGAGUUGUCUCUUCUCUUGGGCUGGGAUUACCUGCGUAUGCCACCACACCCAGCUAAUUUUUUUUUUUGAAUUUAGUAGAGAUGGGAUUUCACCAUGUUAAUCAGGCUGAUCUAGAACUCCUGACCUCAGGUGAUCCACCCGCCUCGGUCUCCCAAAGGACUGGGAUUACAGGCGUGAGCCACUGCACCCAGCCGUCUAAACUUUUAAUAAGGAUUUAUUUGGCUUUUCUUUACAUAUUGAAUUCAUGUUAUAUUUUAAUCGAUUAUAUGGUAUAUGUGAGUUUUGGAACUGUUGAAAUGUUCUUAGGUAUAUGCAGUGUUAUUUUCCAAAAGUUAUGUUAUCUUCCCUCA